GUGGGGAAUCUUGCGCAAUGGGGGAAACCCUGACGCAGCAACGCCGCGUGGGUGAUGAAGGCCUUCGGGUCGUAAAGCCCUGUCAGGUGGAAAGAACCGUGUCGGUACGAACAAUACCGACGCUUGACGGUACCACCGGAGGAAGCACCGGCUAACUCCGUGCCAGCAGCCGCGGUAAUACGGAGGGUGCAAGCGUUGUUCGGAAUUACUGGGCGUAAAGCGCGUGUAGGCGGUCAGGCAAGUCAGAUGUGAAAGCCUUUCGCUUAACGGAAGAAUUGCAUUUGAAACUACCUGGCUGGAGUUCGGGAGAGGAGAGUGGAAUUCCCGGUGUAGAGGUGAAAUUCGUAGAUAUCGGGAGGAACACCGGUGGCGAAGGCGGCUCUCUGGUCCGAUACUGACGCUGAGACGCGAAAGCGUGGGGAGCAAACAGGAUUAGAAACCCGAGUAGUCC
rnacentral:rRNA from 1 species